rnacentral:rRNA from 1 species
CGGGAUUAAUUCCGAAUUUCCCAAUACUAGAGUUUGAUCAUGGCUCAGGACGAACGCUGGCGGCGUGCCUAAUACAUGCAAGUCGAGCGGACAGAUGGGAGCUUGCUCCCUGAUGUUAACGGCGGACGGGUGAGUAACACGUGGGUAACCUGCCUGUAAGACUGGGAUAACUCCGGGAAACCGGGGCUAAUACCGGAUGCUUGUUUGAACCGCAUGGUUCAAACAUAAAAGGUGGCUUCGGCUACCACUUACAGAUGGACCCGCGGCGCAUUAGCUAGUUGGUGAGGUAAUGGCUCACCAAGGCAACGAUGCGUAGCCGACCUGAGAGGGUGAUCGGCCACACUGGGACUGAGACACGGCCCAGACUCCUACGGGAGGCAGCAGUAGGGAAUCUUCCGCAAUGGACGAAAGUCUGACGGAGCAACGCCGCGUGAGUGAUGAAGGUUUUCGGAUCGUAAAGCUCUGUUGUUAGGGAAGAACAAGUACCGUUCGAAUAGGGCGGUACCUUGACGGUACCUAACCAGAAAGCCACGGCUAACU